AUUUUAUUCACCAGCGACAGGUCUCGAAAGAAAAAGUUUCCGAGAUGAGGGACACGCCAGCAGAAGGUAUAACAUAGACCUGAAAUGAGUGAGCUAGUAUUCCCCAUAUCACCAAGAGAAGAUAUUUCCACAGGCCUUUAGAUUUCUCGAGAGAAGGUAGAAUCCUCAAAAACAUGAAAGCGAUAAUUGUCCUCAAGCGAAAGAUGACUGUCCCCCGAAAUUUCAAGGUAUGAACAGUUUUGAGAGAAAGGGGAGACAACUCGAUAGAGCAGCGAUCUCUUCUCUCUUUUCCUGCAUUACAGAAGGC
rnacentral:lncRNA from 1 species